AACCAUCACUCCUCACUCUCUCAUGUAUCUCUUCUUCUUCUUCAAGCUUCAUCUUCUUCCCAAGAACCCUAGGCUCCAAUUGGUAAGAUUCUUCCUCUUAUUUCUCUUCUUUCAUCUCUUGGUUAGCUUGUUCUUGUAGAGAUAUUCAUAAGGAUUUUGUUGGUUAUUGCUUUGUUGUGGUUUGAGGAUGGGAGUAUGGUGGUGUUGUGCUUUAGCUUGGGAGAAGGAAGAAAGGUUAUUCAAGCUUAGGAGUGAUUUUGAGUAUUUAAGCUUUGAGGUUCUCGUUGAAGUGACUAGUUUGUGAGUGAGCCUAGAUUGGAGCUUAACUUUGAGCCCUCUCGCCGAUCUAGUCUCCCUCCUCACGCCGUCUAGACGUUUUUGCCUCCCCGAUGUCGUCGCUGAUCCACCAGAGUCCUCUCUUCCCGCUUCCGCCACCGUCGAGACAUGGCAUUCUCUUCCCAUCGUUGUCGCCUCUGCAGCCGUCGAGUACCGCCUUUGCCGUAGUUGAGCUGUCGCCUCUGCUGCCGUCGAGUUGUCUCUUUUGCCGCCGUCGAGCUGUCUCCCCUGCCGCCGUCGUUAAUCGUCAUGUCCAUUACCAUCCUAUAGUUGUGAAUGUUAUGUUGAUCUUACUCCAAGACUUCUUCAAGAUGAACAAGAUUCAGGCUAACAUGAGCUAUGUAGUAAUGACCAAUGCUUGAAAGCUCUUGAGUUUAUGAGAUCAACGGGACUGGCGCUACAUUUAUUGAAGUCUUGGCUGCAGAGGAAGGGUUAGGCAUUCUUGAAGGAGAUUUUUUGGAGCUGGAUGACCUUCUCUGCCCACUUUUGGGCAUCGACUAAUUUAGUUUAGUGUUGUGUUGAACUUUACUGUCGAUAAACAAUUUAAAAGGAUUAGAUUUCUCUAAGAGAAAGAUGGAUUAACACUAAGUGAUACAUCAUAAGAAAUACAAUACCCAAUCUUAGAAUCACUUCACUUAUGAGUGAUUA